rnacentral:misc_RNA from 1 species
AACUAUGUGUAUGGCCUUGUUGCUCCAUUUAAGAUCCCACCACCCAUCCAGAAAGCCAUCAUAAUGGAAUAAAAUAACAGUAAAAUUCUCUGGAAGAAACUGGACAAUGGCAUCAACAUUGUGCUUUUGCUUAAUACCAACUGGAAUAGCCAGCAAGUUGCGAUGGCUAGAAUUAUCAAUCUUUGACCUUGAGCUACUUGUUG